rnacentral:siRNA from 1 species
AACGUGCGGGUCAGAAUCUAGUUA